UACAAAAAAAAAAAAAGUUGCACCCAUGAAAUUAAGCAUAUCUAUUAAAGAAAAAAUUAAGAUUUCAAAAGUCAUAAUUACAAAGCGAAAUUUUAAUUUAAAAAAAUUUCGAUAAGUGUAUAUGGAAUAAAUUAGUCUGUGUGUGAUAUAACUACAAGCUUGUAGUCAUGAUCCAAUGAAAUAUAUUGAUCAGAGGAAAUUUCAUAGGCUCCGCAUACUCUAUGGUGAACAAACAACAUUUUGGUACCAAAAAUGCAUUCAAAAUAUGUAUGCAGUUACCAUGUACUUAAGCCUACCCAUUUCAGGAAAUCCAUGGUCUCAUAUAUUACAUGCAUAAAUCACACGUGAUCUUUUGAAACUUACGUUGAUGACGGAUAGCACCCGAAGUAGACAAUCAGAUAAUGUAAGUUCUCUCUAAAAGAAGUAAACACAUACGUUUAAACAGACACAGGAUACUAAUUACACAUAUCUACAUCAGCUUACUGCCAUAUUAACAAACCUACAGGAUACCAAUAAGGCAUAUCUAUGACAUUAUGUAAACACUCUGCCCUGAUUUAAACCUACCCUAGCUUACUGGCUUGUUUACAAACCUACAGAAUACCAUCUACACAUAUCUGGGAUAUGAUUCAAACCUAUCACAGCUUACUGUCUUCUUCACAAACCUACAGGAUACAAAAAAUACAAAAAAUGCAUACCUAUGACAUGAUUUAAACCUACAGCAGAUUCCUGUUUUGUUUACAAACCUACAGGACACCAACAAAACAUAUCUGGGAUAUAAUUUAAACCUAUCACAGCUUACUGUCUUCUUCACAAACCUACAGGAUAAAAAAACGGCAUACCUGUGACAUGAUUUAGACCUACAGCAGAUUCCUGUCUUGUUUACAAACCUACAGGAUACUAACAAAACAUAUCUGGGAUAUGAUUCAAACCUAUCACAGCUUACUGUCUUCUUCACAAACCUACAGGAUACAAAUAAAGCAUACCUGUGACAUGAUUUAAGUCAACAUCAGCUUAAAAAAUCCUAGCAACCUACGUAAAACAGUUAAAAUAUUUCUAGGUCUAUAAAACUGUCACACUGACAUCUUAUAGUUGAUUUCUGGCAGGACCCUUUAUGAUGAGCAAAAUAUGAGCAAAUAAAAUAAAAAAGCAACAUUUUGCAAAGAAAUAAACACGAAGCAUUCUUCUCUAAUGUACGAGGGCUGAUCAAGAAGUAAUGUAACUGGUGUAACAAAAGCAUGUAAAAUGAACAGAAAACAUAAUUUCGUACCUGAAUGACUUGAUUUAUUAUCAAUUUUGAUUUAGAAAAUCACAAAAAUAUUUUGCAUACUAGAAAUGGCAUCUUAACAGCAAAGAAUGCAUAUUACUGAAGUUAUUGACAUCAGAAAACAACUUUUUGUCAUUAACUUUUAACAGUAAUCAGUACUACAAAGCUAACUUGACCCUGCAUGUUGUCACCAAGAUUUCAAUGCUAGACAACAGAAAAAUGCUUCUUAAGACCUAAAUGAUUUCAUGUGAUUUGGCAUGACAGUUUAAUGUUAACUGGUGAUCAUCUCUGUUUGACCAAUACUUCUGUUUAUGAAAAACAUUGUCUUAAAGUGAUGUGAAAUGGCACCAAAGCUAUACUUGGAAUUUCUAUGUAUCUUUAAUGAAAAAAUCCUAAAAAAUAAAACUUAUCUAUAUGAUCAGAACUAAAAAAGCGUAUAACUAAGAAUAAGUGUGCCAUGGAUAGAGUGAUUUAUUUCUAGAUGAACCCCCAAUACAUAUGUAAGCCAUUAAAGAUGUGCCAUGAAACAGUCUAGCAGUUUUUACCAAUAUUUACAGGUACACAGGAGAUGAAACCUACCAGAAAAUGUUACACUAUACAUUCACGUUUGCAAUGAAUAGCACCAUAACCCAUAAAUAAACAAUACUGAAAGACAAGCCCAACACAAGUAAAUCAGUAAAGAACUAGAACAUUACCCUCAUAAUGCCCUCAGAGUUAAAAUAGCCUGUCUUCAAGAAAAAGUUGAACCACAGCUUUUCAAUUAUUGUUCAUCCAUAUCCAAUAAGAAAUAACAUAUUGACAUACACAGCAGGCUAGAUGAUAUUCAUAAUUAUGUUAUUUUGGCUGAUGAACACUGUGAUCAGAGUGACUUGUGAAGAUGAACAUUGUGAUACGAGUCACUCUGAAUUCUAACACUAGUGACUUGUGAAGAUGAACACUGCAAUCAGAAUGACUUCUGAAGACAAACAUUGUGAUCACAGUGACUUGUGAAGAAGAGUGAAUGAGUUGGGCAAAUCGACACAAAAUGGUCAUGAACAUUGCAAUCAGAGUGACUUGUGAAGAAAGUGACUCCUGAAGAUGAACAUUGUGAUCACAGUGACUUGUGAAGACAAAUGUGACUACAGUGACUUGUGAAGACAAACAUUGUGAUUACAAUGACUUGUGAAGACAAACAUUACCAUCAAACUGAUUUGUGAAGACUAACAUUGCAAUCAUAGUGACUUAUGAAGAUGAACAUUGCAAUGGCAGUAACUUGUGAAGACAAACAUUGCAAUCACACUGACUUGUGAAGACGAAUAUUGCGAUCACAGUGACUUGAGAAGACAAACAGUCAUAAAUAUUAAGCAGCAGCAUCUCAAAAGUGUCACCAUCAAUACAGCAUAAAUUCUUAAUAGCACAAAUAUGGCUAGUGCCUAUUUAUGUAAUAAAGGUGAUGCUAAAAUUAUUCACUAAGUAAUAAAAGGUAUGCAUAUACAACACAGUAAAUAUCCCCUCCAAGAUUUAACAACAACAUAAUAUACCAAGUAACAAAAGUCAAGAAAAAUUUAAUCUUAAUUGUAAAAGAUACAUAAACAAAUAAAUUAGAAAAUAACCCAACUUUUAUUAUAUUAACAUAAGCUCUUUGCUAAAUACAUAUUCUAAAAAUACAUGAAAAAUAUAAAUCUAACCAAAACUGCUCUUUCAGUGGGAUAUGAACUUGAAGGUAUCAAAAUAAAUAGGACUAAAAUCCCCUAUGAAUAUUGAUUAUUUCACAGUAUGCUCAUCGUGACAGCGUGCACCUGUGUACAUAAUUUGGUUUCAGAAUCAAGGUGUUCCCCAGUUACUGAUCAGAAACAGCCUCAAGCUUCUCGUGACUAUGGUCACCUACUGACCAUGAGCAACAAUUAUGUGAGGCUUGGUUAUAGGACCAACUGUUCUCUAAUUAUUG
rnacentral:lncRNA from 1 species